rnacentral:snoRNA from 2 species
GUGCACAAUUUCAUUGUCUUUUUUCCUUUACAUCAGGAAAAAAGAUAUUUCUGAUGUGCUAAAUAAACUUUCGGAGGUCUAUUAGCAGCAUGACUAAUAUAGCCAUUGCUGUCAGUCACCUUCAGACAAGC